rnacentral:rRNA from 1 species
UACGUAGGCAGCAAGCGUUGUUCGGAGUUACUGGGCGUAAAGGGUGUGUAGGCGGUUGGGUAAGAGGGGUGUGAAAUCUCCCGGCUCAACUGGGAGGGUGCGUCGAAUACUGAAUGACUUGGAGUGCGGGAGAGGAAAGUGGAAUUCCUGGUGUAGCGGUGAAAUGCGUAGAUAUCAGGAGGAACACCGGUGGUGUAGACGGCUUUCUGGACCGUAACUGACGCUGAGACACGAAAGCGUGGGUAGUAAACAGG